UUCGUCUUGAACUGCUGGGAUUCCAAUCCCGGUAGCGAUAAGGAAGUCCGCAAAAAAAAAAGAAAAAACAUGAAAAUUGUCAAAGAACUGCGGAAGGAGAUAAAAGUCGAGUCACACAUCAGACAACAUUUGUCCAGGACAAUCAACAAGAACGCGAACUUCUUUCAACUAGAUCACGUUAAGACCGAGGAUGGGGUUUUCCCUAUCUCUUAUUGUCACGAUCUCAAGAGAUUUCUGAACUCAAUAAUAAUUGAUCGAGGGGUGACCUACCACGAUGUGGACACGGCCUCUAUCGGGUGAGAGGCCAUAUCGAUUCCGGACAAGAUGGGUUCGUGGGUUUGAGAUGGCAGGUUCUUGGCACAUUUUCCACAUCUCGUGAUCCAUAAUUUAACCUCAUUUCCCAUUCCAGGCCAAUAGUAAAGCUGUGUGGCCAGCUCAAUGGUUUUAGUGAUGCCCAAGUGUGACAGGUGGAGUAAUUCCAGAAAUGCUUGGCGUGCUGGUUGGGGAACGACAACACGGUCGCCAACCAGGAUCAAGCACUCCUCGCUCCCUUUGCCGAUUCUGGCCUCUUGUGCGAUCCCCCCAUAGGUUGACAACGGUGUCGGGAGUGGACGGCCACGUGAGAUGCAUUCACGUAACUGUUUGUACUCAUUGUCAACAUUGGAAAGGAUGAUGCGAAAUGUGGGAUUGAUCUCAGUAAUGGCUGCACAUGAGGCUACUUCAAGUGAAGGGUCAGCGGCAAACACCGGGAAGCGACUGAGCGCAUUGGCAAUCAGAUGUUUUUUUCCGGCUGCCCACUUUACCGAGAAUGCAUAUUGGUCGAGAUUUUCCCGCAGCCUCUGCAGUAGUGUAUUGUUCAAGGCUGCCAACAGUUUUGCGAAUAUGCCAAGCAAAGGUCGAUGGUUGGUGAUCACCUCAAACUUAGGCAUCCCCCGGAGAAAAGAGCUGCAUUUUUGUACGGUAAACCAUAUCACACUUAACUCCAAUUCUACUGUCGAAAAGUUCUUUUAUGCUGAUGAUAGCGCACACAAUCCACAUUGAACGAGUCGAAUUUUACCGUCGUUGUCAAUUGAUGGUUCCCGUUGGAUGAGGGCGAAUCCAAGGCCAUGGAGUUGCGACGCGUCAAACGCUGACUCGUGUUCGGGUAACCAUAGCCAUGCGGACGACUUUUUCAGUAGCUCUCGAAUUUUGACCAUGGCGUGUUGCAAAUCUGGGAGAAAUGCACCCAGCUGGUUGGCCAAACCAAGGAAUGAUCGAAGGUCCGUCACCGAUUUUGGGCUAGGAAAGGACCUCAAUGCUUCCAAUUUACUCGGGUCCGGUUUUAGCCCGCCAUCUGACACAAUAAAUCCGGCAAACUUUAUGGCUCUUCGAUCUCAAACUUGUUAAUGGAGAGUUUGAUUCCAUUUUCACGGCACUUUUGUAUGACCACGGCCAGUCGUUCCAACAACUCAGUUCCUCCAAGGCCAGAUCAGUACGUAGGCUGAAUACAUCCCCAGAAUCUUUCCAGCCCAUGGGGGCGACUAAAGGCCG